CCCGCCCAACCCACUUUAUCUGACUCUCCGUGAGUCUCCCCUCCCUUCCGACCUCGGCGCAGACGGUCAGGAUGGGCUGCGCUCGCAGCACAAUGCAUGUGUCCGAAGUUCAGGACCUCCGCCGGCUCUUUCGAGUCGGCGAGACGAGGUCGCUCAACCCAUCCUGCUCGUAAUUCGGCGUCCAGCUUGCUGCUGAUCUGCUUCACCCGGCGAAUGCGAGCCUCUGCUGCUUCAGAUUGUUCGCCGCUGCUUUCCUGACUGCUCGAUGCCGACUUGCUGCUAACUUACGUCUUGCCGACUUCUCCGUCUUGCUUGGCUCGGAUCGUCCUGCUACUGCUCAUUCCGCCGCUUCUCGACGAUGCUCGGCGCUGGCCUGACUUAAUCCGACUACUGCUCUCCGGCUUCACCCAAGCCGUCUCUGUCCUCGCUCGCGUCUCUCGCUUCCGUAUGGACUGCAAUGUCAACUGCAGCUGUCACCGC
rnacentral:misc_RNA from 1 species